rnacentral:rRNA from 1 species
UACGAAGGGGGCUAGCGUUGCUCGGAAUCACUGGGCGUAAAGGGUGCGUAGGCGGGUCUUUAAGUCAGGGGGGAAAUCCUGGAGCUCAACUCCAGAACUGCCUUUGAUACUGAAGAUCUUGAGUUCGGGAGAGGUGAGUGGAACUGCGUGUGUAGGGGUGAAAUCCGUAGAUCUACGAAGGAACGCCAAAAGCGAAGGCAGCUCUCUGGGUCCCUACCGACGCUGGGGUGCGAAAGCAUGGGGAGCGAACAGG